GUUUGGACUGUGAAGUGUAAAAUUUCAUACCAUAAACUCUUCAGUCCCACUGGAGGCACAGAACACUCACAUCCUCUCCAUAUGCUGGACAGUCUUCCCAGGCAGCUCACUUGAAAAGGAUGCCAUUGGCACUUCUGCAAAGUGGUCAUCCGAAAGCUUUCACUUUGCUGGUGAGGAGCACGUCCGGGGGCAGAAUUGGCACAAGAUACAUCUAGUUCAUAUGUUAAAAGAUUUGUACUUGGACUGCAGAAGCAAAGGAUGUCAGGGUCAUGAUCUGUGUGGGCUCAAAGUCAUUGCUGACCCACUGACGGGCCACCUUGUAGAGGAAAACCCCUCAAACAGACAAGAUAGCUGCCAUUUGAAGAUCACAGCUUUAGAAGCACCAGCAGCCAUUUUCAAAGCUUUC
rnacentral:lncRNA from 1 species